GAUCCUGGCUCAGGACGAACGCUGGCGACGUGCUUAACACAUGCAAGUCGAACGAGAAUCUGCGGAACGAGGAUUCGUCCAAGUGAAGCAGAGGACAGUGGCGGACGGGUGAGUAACGCGUGAGGAACCUGCCUUUCAGAGGGGGGACAACAGUUGGAAACGACUGCUAAUACCGCAUAACACAUGGGUGUCGCAUGGCACUUAUGUCAAAGAUUUAUCGCUGAGAGAUGG
rnacentral:rRNA from 1 species